rnacentral:rRNA from 1 species
GCUUGCUCUCGGGUGACGAGUGGCGGACGGGUGAGUAAUGUCUGGGAAACUGCCUGAUGGAGGGGGAUAACUACUGGAAACGGUAGCUAAUACCGCAUAACGUCGCAAGACCAAAGAGGGGGACCUUCGGGCCUCUUGCCAUCAGAUGUGCCCAGAUGGGAUUAGCUAGUAGGUGGGGUAACGGCUCACCUAGGCGACGAUCCCUAGCUGGUCUGAGAGGAUGACCAGCCACACUGGAACUGAGACACGGUCCAGACUCCUACGGGAGGCAGCAGUGGGGAAUAUUGCACAAUGGGCGCAAGCCUGAUGCAGCCAUGCCGCGUGUAUGAAGAAGGCCUUCGGGUUGUAAAGUACUUUCAGCGGGGAGGAAGGUGUUGAGGUUAAUAACCUNNNCAAUUGACGUUACCCGCAGAAGAAGCACCGGCUAACUCCGUGCCAGCAGCCGCGGUAAUACGGAGGGUGCAAGCGUUAAUCGGAAUUACUGGGCGUAAAGCGCACGCAGGCGGUCUGUCAAGUCGGAUGUGAAAUCCCCGGGCUCAACCUGGGAACUGCAUUCGAAACUGGCANGCNGGAGUCUUGUANAGGGGGGUAGANNUCCNNUGUNNGGUGAAAUGCGUANNAUCUGGAGGAAUACCNGUGGCGANNCGGCNCCCUGNANAAANANAGANGCUCNNGUGCNANAGCNUGNGGAGCANANAGGANNANAUAC